rnacentral:rRNA from 1 species
UAAACGACUCUCGGCAACGGAUAUCUCGGCUCUCGCAUCGAUGAAGAACGUAGCGAAAUGCGAUACUUGGUGUGAAUUGCAGAAUCCCGUGAACCAUCGAGUCUUUGAACGCAAGUUGCGCCCGAAGCCUUCGGGCCGAGGNCACGUCUGCCUGGGCGUCAC